rnacentral:rRNA from 1 species
AUUGAACGCUGGCGGCAUGCCUUACACAUGCAAGUCGAACGGCAGCACGGGUGCUUGCACCUGGUGGCGAGUGGCGAACGGGUGAGUAAUACAUCGGAACGUACCUUAUCGUGGGGGAUAACGCAGCGAAAGCUGUGCUAAUACCGCAUACGCCCUGAGGGGGAAAGCGGGGGAUCGCAAGACCUCGCGCGAUUAGAGCGGCCGAUGCCUGAUUAGCUUGUUGGUGGGGUAAAAGCCCACCAAGGCGACGAUCAGUAGCUGGUCUGAGAGGAUGAUCAGCCACACUGGGACUGAAACACGGCCCAGACUCCUAAGGGAGGCAGGAGUGGGGAAUUUUGGACAAUGGGGGCAAGCCUGAGCCAGCAAUGCCGCGUGAGUGAAGAAGGCCUUCGGGUUGUAAAGCUCUUUUGUCAGGGAAGAAACACCGGCUCUAACACAGUCCGGGAAUGACGGUACCUGAAGAAUAAGCACCGGCUAACUACGUGCCAGCAGCCGCCGCAG